CAAAAUGUAGCACCCUUUUUUCACAUCCCCAUUUUUCUUUCAUUCUGGCCUUGUUUAAAUAUAAAGUGACCAUUUGCAACAUUAUUGUCAUUUAUUUCUCAAACAUUUGUUGGGUUAAAGGGGCUGUUCAUAGUUGGUAGCCCCUCACAUAGUAGAUUCAACUUGAAUCUAUAUCACUUACAUGGGUUCUAAUUGCAGGUCUGAUUCAAACCUAACCUGACCUUAAAAAUAGCAACAGUCAUUUUUCAUUGAUAUGCCACAGUAGGAAAAUAUCAAUAUUUUCCCACUACGACAAGUCAACAUCUCUUCAGAGAAAAAUGUCUAUUACGUGUAUAUGACUGUACUGUAUAUUCCUGGGUAAGACGUGUAGGCACUAUACCUUAAGGCAAGAAAUAAAGGUAGUUAAAGGUUAGCUGGGAAUGAGUCAGGUUUCACAAAAAUGUGGGUUUGGGAGUGGGUUUGUUACUCUUAAGAAUACUUAAGUUAACUGUUAACUGUUAAGAUAACGUGUUGUAAGCUAAUAGGUUAACCCUCUCCUUUGUGCACUGACUCAGCCGAGUCUCUGUUAAUGGUCCAAGAGCUGAAGGAUGUGGAGGUCAUGGCCCCUGAUGAAGCCUGCUUUGAAUGUGAGGUCUCGGUCCCUGUCCUCAAAGCACCUGUGUGGAGUCUGAAUGGGGAGCCCUUACAGUCGAGCUCUCGGGUACGCCUGGAGAAGAUGGGCACAGUGCACAGGCUGACCCUCAGACAAACCUCCCCGGACAUGAAUGGAGAGGUGGAGUUCACCUCUGGGAAAGCAAAAAGCAGAGCCCAGCUGCGGGUACUGAGUGAUCCAUGAGUGACAUCAACCGUCUGUCAUCGCCUAAUUGACAUGAAUUGAUUAUUAUAUUGAUGCUUUUACAUUGUACCAUUGACAUUGCUUCUAUAUUUACAAACAGUAUGUCUAAAAAAAAGUGGUUUAAACAGGGUUGUGAUGGAUUUUCAUGCAGUUCAAUUAAUUCAGGGAGUGGAUUUUCUUUCGGUAACUUGCAUUUAAGGAACUCAAUUUCUGUUCAUAUAAAAUGUGUCAUAGUGAGUGUGUGAAGAAACGGUUCCUUUAUCAUAACACAAAUUGCAGUUUGUAUGUAAAUGAUAUCCUGUGUGUAAGUGAGCUGACUGUAACCAUGCUAUGGAGGUUUAAGCUGAAUGUGUAUUUGUAACAAUAAAUGUUGAAUACUGUAAAGCUCAAAGGACUUCACUAGUGGGAAAAAAAUAGUAAUAAAUAAUAAUAAUAAAAGUGUGAGUUCAGCUUUACAAACAGUAGUUUUAAUGCAACCAAGCCACAAUGCAUGUUAAGAGACAUUUGAAUUAAUAGGGCCAUUUCUAGGGCUAAGAAAAUAUUUGAAAUGUAAAAUUGUCUGAUCUGAUCUUGUUCACACAACCUGCUUGUGGCAUUAUAAAACUUAAAAACUUGUCAAAAAACAACUUAGAUUCGGCUCCAGAUACCUCAAAAUAAUUGGUUGAUGGCGUUUUUUUUUCUAUUAAGCAUACUCUAAGAAUAAAUGAAAGCAGUUGACAUACUUAUAUCCGUCACCAGAAGAGACUUACAGACUACAUGUGUAAUUGUGCAAUUUUCUAUGCCGUAUUAUCUGAUUUGCACUCAGUGUAAUUUCCCCAUAUAUCAGAGCAUAGUUUUGUGUGGCUGUUGUGACAGUGAGCAUACUCAAACACCAGUAUUAGGUAUUACCACAUAGAGAACUCAACGGCCACAUACCCAUCUCAAAUUUACAUUUAGCUUCAGGCUUUAGAAAGGAUCGUCCAAGCAUCAGUUGACUCACUAAUUACAUUUAACAAUUAAUGUCUUUUCAUAAUUUGUCCAUUGUAUAGACAUUUUUUUAUGUUUUGAUGAAACCUGAAGUUCAAGUUUGAAUGAAGAGAGUUCUGUCUUGCAGCAAGGGGCUUGUAAUGAAAAUACAUUGGGCCAAAAUCAGGUAAUCUAGGAAAGAAAUACGUUAAACAAAUUACUUGAUCACCUUGAAUGAUAAUCAGGGCGUGCUAGUUUUAUUGUUGAGUGGAUAUUAUGUUUGAACUUAACGGAGAAUGAUAGUUGUUUUCAUAUGAAAUCUGUUCCAUAUUCCAUUUUUCCAUUUGUUUCCACCUCUGCCAUGUAGUACUGUUGAGCGUUAGGAAUGUGAAAAAAGGUUCUGUAGUGAAAUAUGACCUGUUUCAAUAAAACAUGCUUUAUUGAUGCAAGGUAAAAA